rnacentral:rRNA from 1 species
UACGUAGGGUGCAAGCGUUGUCCGGAAUUAUUGGGCGUAAAGGGCUCGUAGGCGGUCCAUCACGUCGGUAGUGAAAAGCUGGGGCUUAACCCCAGUCCUGCUUCCGAUACGGGUGGACUAGAGGUAGGCAGGGGAGAACGGAAUUCCUGGUGUAGCGGUGAAAUGCGCAGAUAUACGGAGGAACACCUGCGGCGAAGGCGGGUUGCUGGGCUAACACUGACGCUGAGGCGCGAAAGCUAGGGUAGCAAACGGG